GUGAGGAAUGGUCGGGAUAGCUCAGCUGGUAGAGCAGAGGACUGAAAAUCCUCUUACCCCCCUUUUCUAAAAUAAA
rnacentral:tRNA from 1 species